rnacentral:rRNA from 1 species
UGGGAUAACCUCGGGAAACUGGGGAUAAUUCCGGAUACCGCAUAUAUGCUGGAAUGCUUUAUGCGUAAAAUGGAUUCGUCUGCCCAAGGAUGGGUCUGCGGCCUAUCAGGUAGUAGUGGGUGUAAUGUACCUACUAGCCAACGACGGGUACGGGUUGUGAGAGCAAGAGCCCGGAGAUGGAUUCUGAGACAUGAAUCCAGGCCCUACGGGGCGCAGCAGGCGCGAAAACUUUACAAUGCGGGAAACCGUGAUAAGGGGACACCGAGUGCCAGCAACAUUUGUUGGCUGUCCAGGUGUGUAAACUACACCUGUUAGCAAGGGCCGGGCAAGACCGGUGCCAGCCGCCGCGGUAACGCCGGCGGCCCGAGUGGUGAUCGUGAUUAUUGGGCCUAAAGGGUCCGUAGCCGGUUUGGUCAGUCCUCCGGGAAAUCUGACGGCUUAACCGUUAGGCUUUCGGGGGAUACUGCCAGGCUUGGAACCGGGAGAGGUAAGAGGUACUACAGGGGUGGGAGUGAAAUCUUGUAAUCCCUGUGGGACCACCUGUGGCGAAGGCGUCUUACCAGAACGGGUUCGACGGUGAGGGACGAAAGCUGGGGGCACGAACCGGAUUAGAUACCCGGGUAGUCCCAGCCGUAAACGAUGCUCGCUAGGUGUCAGGCAUGGCGCGACCGUGUCUGGUGCCGCAGGGAAGCCGUGAAGCGAGCCACCUGGGAAGUACGGCCGCAAGGCUGAAACUUAAAGGAAUUGGCGGGGGAGCACAACAACGGGUGGAGCCUGCGGUUUAAUUGGACUCAACGCCGGACAACUCACCGGGGGCGACAGCAAUAUGUAGGCCAAGCUGAAGACUUUGCCUGAAUCGCUGAGAGGAGGUGCAUGGCCGUCGCCAGUUCGUACUGUGAAGCAUCCUGUUAAGUCAGGCAACGAGCGAGACCCGUGCCCACUGUUACCAGCAUGUCCUCCGGGACGAUGGGUACUCUGUGGGGACCGCCGGUGUUAAAUC